AUUGAACGCUGGCGGCAGGCUUAACACAUGCAAGUCGAGCGGAGACUUCGGUCUUAGCGGCGAACGGGUGAGUAAUACCUAGGGAUCUGCCUAUUAGUGGGGAUAACGAAUCGAAAGGUUCGCUAAUACCGCAUACGUCCUACGGGAGAAAGGGGGAGUCUUCGGACCUCUCGCUAAUAGAUGAGCCUAGGCCGGAUUAGCUAGUUGGUAGGGUAAAGGCCUACCAAGGCGACGAUCUGUAGCUGGUCUGAGAGGAGUGGCCAGCCACACUGGAACUGAGACACGGUCCAGACUCCUACGGGAGGCAGCAGUGGGGAAGU
rnacentral:rRNA from 1 species